UAUACUUACAAUUUGACAGGUUGCUCAUUGUUUUGAAGGUUAUUUUUCAGAAGGAGAGUGAAUAAAUAAGAAAAAGAUUGUUUGUAGACAAAUGAAAAAUAGAAAUGUUCACUAAAAAGGAAUUGAACAAUAAAUUGUUAAUUUAUGCAAAUGAAGGGAAGUGAACGUUUCAAUUGACUGAAUAUGACGACUCUGCACCUGUCAUUAUUGAAGCUGUUAUUUGAAAAAAUUGUGUUCAUGUUUAAAUGUAAUUCAAUUUGGAUUUUUUAAAAGGAGCAGGGAGACUGUACGUAGGCAAGUACAGGCUCAAGAUGCUUUUAUUGGUUUUUAUUGAGAAUAUAAGAGCACGAAGUGGUGGCUCUGAGGCACAAUCAGUUUCUACCCGAGGCGCAGCUCGGUCGUCGUUUAUAUAGAGGAGUUAUGAGUCAUGGAGGGUGUUACCCAUAGUACAUAUCUAAAACCCCUCGCGUAGGGUGAAUCGAGACUCCUGGCAAGGAGGAUCAAACCUAUCCCUAAGACGUACAAUAUUCUACUGGACCAUGUCCAGGCAUUGUGUUGCCAAUAGUUGGCCUGUCGCUGUGCUAUUAUCAAAGCGUGCUUAGAUGCUAAAUCAUCAAUAGAAAGUGCAUUAUCUCGCACAGUGUCAAAAGUUAAUCUGGGUAUUCUGAAUUAAUGGAAUUGUCAUGUCUUAGUCCUGUAUGUACGUAGAAGUAGUCUGUCAGCUGAUUUGGUGCGACAAUGGCUGUUUAAUUGGAGCAUGGAGGCUUGAUUUAUAGAAAUUAUUUUUUCCAUUUGCCCUGGACAAAGUAUUAUAUAGGUUUCUAAUUUUGAAGGUAAAAUAAA